rnacentral:sRNA from 1 species
ACAGCGCCCAGAGCCUCGGAGCAAGGCGUUGGCAGAUCUGAAGACAGCAUGUACACAGCCAUUCCCCAGAGGUAAGUUGCAUGCCCUAUCUCCUUUCACAACUUCCCCUUCUUCACCUCCAAGGGCUGCCCCUCCCCACUGCUCUUCUCAUCCCCAGACUGCAGUCGCCAGGCCUGCCCAGGGCUGUGCUUGGGUGAGUGGGUCCAGGCUGCUGUCAACCCUCUCUCUUCUCGCAGUGGCUCUCCAUUCCCAGGCUCAGUGCAGGAUCCAGGCCUGCAUGUGUGGCGGGUGGAGAAGCUGAAGCCGGUGCCCGUGGUGCGAGAGAACCAGGGCAUCUUCUUCUCGGGGGACUCCUACCUAGUGCUGCACAAUGGCCCAGAAGAGGUUUCCCAUCUGCACCUGUGGAUAGGUAAGGGGAUCUGGUUGGGGGAAGGUUGGGCCCAGGAAGGGGAGGGAGGGGGCUGGCAUGGAUCACAAGGGCCUUGCUCUGCCCUCUCCCACUUGUCCCAGGCCAGCAGUCAUCCCGGGAUGAGCAGGGGGCCUGUGCCG